CCUACGGGAGGCAGCAGUGAGGAAUAUUGGUCAAUGGACGAGAGUCUGAACCAGCCAAGUAGCGUGAAGGAUGACUGCCCUAUGGGUUGUAAACUUCUUUUAUAUGGGAAUAAAACGUUCCACGUGUGGGAUUUUGUAUGUACCAUAUGAAUAAGGAUCGGCUAACUCCGUGCCAGCAGCCGCGGUAAUACGGAGGAUCCGAGCGUUAUCCGGAUUUAUUGGGUUUAAAGGGAGCGUCGGUGGAUUGUUAAGUCAGUUGUGAAAGUUUGCGGCUCAACCGUAAAAUUGCAGUUGAAACUGGCAGUCUUGAGUACAGUAGAGGUGGGCGGAAUUCGUGGUGUAGCGGUGAAAUGCUUAGAUAUCACGAAGAACUCCGAUUGCGAAGGCAGUUCACUGGACUGCAACUGACACUGAGGCUCGAAAGUGUGGGUAUCAAACAGGAUUAGAUACCCGAGUAGUC
rnacentral:rRNA from 1 species